CUUAAACCCAUCUCUCUGCUGUCCUGCUGCCAGUUCUCCUCUCCUUGGCUCUGCUGAUCAGACACAGAUUCAUAUCAUGAUUCCAGCCACUGAGGAGGAGGACUGUGAUGAUGAGGAUGAAGAUGAUGAAGAUGUGAUGGUGAUGAUGCUGAUUCCGCUCCCAGGGGUGGACCGCUGCUGAUGAGGCUGAGGGAGAGCAGUGGGCAGAGGGAGAAGGCCAUAUGUCAAAUACAGACAGCUGGCAUGCACUUUUCUGGAUGAUCAGAUUCACAGAAAAACUCCAUUGUGACCCAAUGGUGGCCGUGUUGCCGUUCUCUUUGGGCUAGCAUAUUUCCAUAUAUACUGGCCUCCUCCUUGUGGGUCUUUCUACAAAAUUGUUUCAUUUUCCAUUAAAAGUGUUGAUUCAAAUUUGAAAUGAUCCAUUCAGUAAAAUAAGUAGAUCUGGCCUUUGAAAUGCAAUUUUAUUUUCAUUUUCAUUUUCAUUUUCAUUUUCAUUUUAUUUCAGUAAAUCAUCAACAAGUGGAAAUUAAACGCAAAGAUGUACCACACCUUUAAUGUUGAUAAUAUGAAUGGGACUUGCAUUACUGUUGCUUUGGAUAUUGGGGGCAUUUUGUGUAGCCUACUAGUGUCAACAACAGGGGUGACAAAACUAAUUCAUAAAAUGUCAAUUUUUUGUAGAAUGACCUGGUGCUGCUACAGUAAUUGUACACAUUUUGUUGUACAAGUAGUUUGCACACAAACAAAACAAUACACAAAACAAGAAUUGCGUCUGUGGUUAAACUUCAACUUCAACUGGUUGUAUGGCAAGGAACUACAAAUGGAGGCUAUGUGUCACUUGAUUAGUUAUCUACUGAUAAUGAAGGCUUUUUGUCUGUGCCAGUGACGCAUGCCUGCAAAAGUGGGGUCAUACAGAAAC